rnacentral:rRNA from 1 species
UACCUAGGGGGCAAGCGUUAUCCGGAAUUAUUGGGUGUAAAGGGUGCGUAGACGGAGAAACAAGUUGGUUGUGAAAUCCCUCGGCUCAACCGAGGAACUGCAACCAAAACUAUUUCCCUUGAGUGUCGGAGAGGAAAGUGGAAUUCCUAGUGUAGCGGUGAAAUGCGUAGAUAUUAGGAGGAACACCAGUGGCGAAGGCGACUUUCUGGACGAUAACUGACGUUGAGGCACGAAAGUGUGGGGAGCAAACAGG